rnacentral:rRNA from 1 species
GAUGCCCAGCUUGCUGGGCGGAUUAGUGGCGAACGGGUGAGUAAUACGUGAGAGACCUGCCCUUGACUCUGGGAUAAGCCUGGGAAACUGGGUCUAAUAGUGGAUACUACCUCUUACCGCAUGGUGGGUGGUGGAAAGGGUUUUACUGGUUUUGGAUGGGCUCACGGCCUAUCAGCUUGUUGGUGGGGUAAUAACUCACCAAGGCGACGACGGGUAGCCGGCCUGAGAGGGUGACCGGCCACACUGGGACUGAGACACGGCCCAGACUCCUACGGGAGGCAGCAGUGGGGAAUAUUGCACAAUGGGCGGAAGCCUGAUGCAGCGACGCCGCGUGAGGGAUGACGGCCUUCGGGUUGUAAACCUCUUUCAGUAGGGAAGAAGCGAGAGUGACGGUACCUGCAGAAGAAGCGCCGGCUAACUACGUGCCAGCAGCCGCGGUAAUACGUAGGGCGCAAGCGUUGUCCGGAAUUAUUGGGCGUAAAGAGCUCGUAGGCGGUUUGUCGCGUCUGCUGUGAAAGCCCGGGGCUCAACCCCGGGUCUGCAGUGGGUACGGGCAGACUAGAGUGCAGUAGGGGAGACUGGAAUUCCUGGUGUAGCGGUGAAAUGCGCAGAUAUCAGGAGGAACACCGAUGGCGAAGGCAGGUCUCUGGGCUGUUACUGACGCUGAGGAGCGAAAGCAUGGGGAGCGAACAGGAUUAGAUACCCUGGUAGUCCAUGCCGUAAACGUUGGGCACUAGGUGUGGGGGACAUUCCACGUUUUCCGCGCCGUAGCU